GAUGAACGCUGGCGGCGUGCCUAAUACAUGCAAGUCGAGCGAACGGACGAGAAGCUUGCUUCUCUGAUGUUAGCGGCGGACGGGUGAGUAACACGUGGAUAACCUACCUAUAAGGCUGGGAUAACUUCGGGAAACCGGAGCUAAUACCGGAUAAUAUUUUGAACCGCAUGGUUCAAAAGUGAAAGACGGUCUUGCUGUCACUUAUAGAUGGAUCCGCGCUGCAUUAGCUAGUUGGUAAGGUAACGGCUUACCAAGGCAACGAUGCAUAGCCGACCUGAGAGGGUGAUCGGCCACACUGGAACUGAGACACGGUCCAGACUCCUACGGGAGGCAGCAGUAGGGAAUCUUCCGCAAUGGGCGAAAGCCUGACGGAGCAACGCCGCGUGAGUGAUGAAGGUCUUCGGAUCGUAAAACUCUGUUAUUAGGGAAGAACAUAUGUGUAAGUAACUGUGCACAACUUGACGGUACCUAAUCAGAAAGCCACGGCUAACUACGUG
rnacentral:rRNA from 1 species